rnacentral:rRNA from 1 species
GGAAUAUUGGACAAUGGCCGAGAGGCUGAUCCAGCCAUGCCGCGUGCGGGAGGACGGCCCUAUGGGUUGUAAACCGCUUUUGUUGGGGAGCAAUAAGGGUCACGUGUGACCUGAUGAGAGUACCCAGCGAAUAAGCAUCGGCUAACUCCGUGCCAGCAGCCGCGGUAAUACGUAGGUGGCAAGCGUUAUCCGGAUUUAUUGGGCGUAAAGCGAGCGCAGGCGGUUUGAUAAGUCUGAUGUGAAAGCCUUUGGCUUAACCAAAGAAGUGCAUCGGAAACUGUCAGACUUGAGUGCAGAAGAGGACAGUGGAACUCCAUGUGUAGCGGUGGAAUGCGUAGAUAUAUGGAAGAACACCAGUGGCGAAGGCGGCUGUCUGGUCUGCAACUGACGCUGAGGCUCGAAAGCAUGGGUAGCGAACA